GCCCCCGGCCUCCGGACACCGGGCAGAGCUCUCCCGUCUCCGUCUCCCCGACCCUCGUCUCGCGCGAGGGAGAGAAGCGCCGCCGCCGCCGCCACAUGCUGAUCUCCCCAUCGGACGUCGCCUCUGCAGCUUUUCCUCCGCCAUAGACUCCUGAUCCGCAACCACCUCCACCUCUGCAUCAGUGUACUUGGUGGGAACCAAUGCAUGAUCUUGCACUGGUUUGAUGCAUCAAACAGAGCACUGCAGUGCGCUUGGUGGGAGCAAUACAUGAUUUGCGAAAAAAAUGAAGUGAUGCAUAUUGUGCUGAAUCAACAUGGCAGUUUACCAGGCCUUUUGAAGCUCCACACAUAUGUUCUUUGUAUCAUGCAAGUACGUGGUAUUGUGUGAUUGUAGAAAUUCUUAAAAAUUGUAGCCCUUCUCAAUAUUGUAACCUCUUUUGCUGUCGUAAACAACUUGUAAGUGUAAGAAGUUGUAAGAACCUAUAUCUGAACAAGAUAUUUGUUUUUUUAAUAUGUAAGGGUGCAGCAAAGUAUUAUCGAAAUUUUGUUUGUGUGCUGCU